UACGUAGGGGGCUAGCGUUGUCCGGAAUUAUUGGGCGUAAAGAGCUCGUAGGCGGUUUGUCGCGUCUGCUGUGAAAACUCAGGGCUUAACCCUGAGCCUGCAGUGGGUACGGGCAGACUAGAGUGUGGUAGGGGAGAUCGGAAUUCCUGGUGUAGCGGUGGAAUGCGCAGAUAUCAGGAGGAACACCGGUGGCGAAGGCGGAUCUCUGGGCCAUAACUGACGCUGAGGAGCGAAAGCAUGGGGAGCGAACAGG
rnacentral:rRNA from 1 species